rnacentral:rRNA from 1 species
UGAGGAAUAUUGGACAAUGGGUUAGCGCCUGAUCCAGCCAUCCCGCGUGAAGGACGACGGCCCUAUGGGUUGUAAACUUCUUUUGUAUAGGGAUAAACCUACUCUCGUGAGAGUAGCUGAAGGUACUAUACGAAUAAGCACCGGCUAACUCCGUGCCAGCAGCCGCGGUAAUACGGAGGGUGCAAGCGUUAUCCGGAUUUAUUGGGUUUAAAGGGUCCGUAGGCGGACUUAUAAGUCAGUGGUGAAAGCCUGUCGCUUAACGAUAGAACUGCCAUUGAUACUGUAAGUCUUGAGUAUAUUUGAGGUAGCUGGAAUAAGUAGUGUAGCGGUGAAAUGCAUAGAUAUUACUUAGAACACCAAUUGCGAAGGCAGGUCACUAAGAUUUAACUGACGCUGAUGG